UGGCCCCAAAUAAGCAUGUCUUCCAAGUGGC
rnacentral:piRNA from 1 species